AUCGGUGCCUCAGUGGUAGAAUGCUCGC
rnacentral:sRNA from 1 species